rnacentral:rRNA from 1 species
UUCGCCCUUCGGUUGAUCCUGCCGGACCCCACUGCUAUCGAGGUGGGACUAAGCCAUGCUAGUUGAGCGCACAGAACUAUGUCUGUGAGCGGCACACUGCUCAGUAACACGUAGCUAACCUACCCUUAGGACGUGGACAACCCCGAGAAAUUGGGGCUAAUCCGCGAUAGAUGUAUUGUCCUGGAAUGGUAUUACGUCUAAAGGUAUCCCAUACAUGUUUGGUAUAUGCCUAAGGAUGGGGCUGCGGCCGAUCAGGCUGUUGGUGAGGUAAUGGCUCACCAAACCUUUGACCGGUACGGGCCAUGAGAGUGGUAGCCCGGAGAUGGACACUGAGACAAGGGUCCAGGCCCUACGGGGCGCAGCAGGCGCGAAACCUCCUCAAUGCACUUACGUGCGAAGGGGCUACCUCGAGUGCCACCUGAUGAAGGUGGCUUUUCCUAGGUCUAAAAAGCCUUGGGAAUAAGAGGGGGGCAAGACUGGUGUCAGCCGCCGCGGUAACACCAGCCCCUCGAGUGGUGGGGAUGAUUAUUGGGCCUAAAGCGUCCGUAGCCUGCCGUGUAAGUUUCCCGUUAAAUCCAGCGUCUUAAGCGUUGGACCGCGGGAAAUACUGUACGGCUAGAGAGUGGGAGAGGUCAGCGGUAUUCUGGGGGUAGGGGCGAAAUCCUUUGAUCCCCGGAGGACCACCAGUGGCGAAGGCUGCUGUCUAGAACACGUCUGACGGUCAGGGACGAAAGCUGGGGUAGCGAACCGGAUUAGAUACCCGGGUAGUCCCAGCCGUAAACGAUGCAUGCUAGGUGUUGGGUUGGCCACGAGCCACCC